UGGUGGCGAGUGGCGAACGGGUGAGUAAUAUAUCGGAACGUACCCUAGAGUGGGGGAUAACGUAGCGAAAGUUACGCUAAUACCGCAUACGAUCUACGGAUGAAAGCAGGGGACCUUCGGGCCUUGUGCUACUAGAGCGGCUGAUGGCAGAUUAGGUAGUUGGUGGGGUAAAGGCUUACCAAGCCUGCGAUCUGUAGCUGGUCUGAGAGGACGACCAGCCACACUGGGACUGAGACACGGCCCAGACUCCUACGGGAGGCAGCAGUGGGGAAUUUUGGACAAUGGGCGAAAGCCUGAUCCAGCAAUGCCGCGUGCAGGAUGAAGGCCCUCGGGUUGUAAACUGCUUUUGUACGGAACGAAAAGCCUGGGGCUAAUAUCCCCGGGUCAUGACGGUACCGUAAGAAUAAGCACCGGCUAACUACGUGCCAGCAGCCGCGGUAAUACGUAGGGUGCAAGCGUUAAUCGGAAUUACUGGGCGUAAAGCGUGCGCAGGCGGUUUUGUAAGACAGUGGUGAAAUCCCCGGGCUCAACCUGGGAACUGCCAUUGUGACUGCAAGGCUAGAGUGCGGCAGAGGGGGAUGGAAUUCCGCGUGUAGCAGUGAAAUGCGUAGAUAUGCGGAGGACACCGAUGGCGAAGGCAAUCCCCUGGGCCUGCACUGACGCUCAUGCAC
rnacentral:rRNA from 1 species